GCAAACUUAAAAGCUUUUCACUCCACACUUGCCCACACGUUUUUGCCUCCAAACUUCCAAGUUUUCAAGUGCUCAAGUGUCCUAGCUUUCCAAAGCUUCAAAAUCUCUCCAACUUCUUCUUCUAAUCUUCUUGUUCAUCUUUACAAGUAAAAAAUGUUGUUUGCUUUAAUAUUCCAUUCCUCUAAUCACCUCUUGUGUGUGUCCACUUUGGUUGAGAGGGUUGUCUCAAUAGUACCAAAGUGUGAGAGAAGGUUUGUGAGCUCAACCAUAAAGCUCUAGUUUGGUUUUAUAGAGUUUUCGGGAAAAUUCUUAGGUCGAGUCUACCUUUAAAGAUUUCAGAGGUUUUUAAGAGUUGCUUGAUACUCUAAGGUACUAACUUAUCCGCAAAAGUUAGAGGUUCUUAAGAGUGCCCUUGAUACUCUAAGGUGUGAGUCUACCCGUAAAAGACUGGUUCCUAAGCGAAGUAGCCUUAAAGCUUAGAGAGGUUCUUAAGAGUUUCCUUGAUACUCUAAGGUUUUGCCAUUACCUUUAGGCGAGUGAAUUCCGGCAGUUGGUCGGGACUGGACUAGCCCUUGUUUGGGUGAACCAGUAUAAAUCUCUUGUGUUUUUCUCUGUUAAUUAUAGUUUUAUCUUUUAUCUAAAAACAACACUUAAUUAAAAAGAUCCCUCUUCCAGUUAUCUGGUCAAAUACAGAGGUUGACUACUUUACGCAGAUCCCUCAUCCAGUUAACUGGUCAACCAUCUGAGGUUAUAUUCAUUGCUUUAAAUCCUUAUAUUUGUUCAAGUAUUACUUAUCAUAUUUAUCCAGUUAUUUGGUCACUUACUUGCUUAUCAAUAUAUCCAGU
rnacentral:lncRNA from 1 species